UAGUCCACGCCGUAAACGAUGAUCACUCGUCAUUGGCGAUACACUGUCAGUGACCAAGCGAAAGUGUUAAGUGAUCCACCUGGGGAGUACGGUCGCAAGAUUGAAACUCAAAGGAAUUGACGGGGGCCCGCACAAGCGGUGGAGCAUGUGGUUUAAUUCGAUGAUACGCGAGGAACCUUACCAGGGCUUAAAUGCAUAUUGACAGAUUGAGAAAUCAGUCCUUCUUCGGACAGUUUGCAAGGUGCUGCAUGGUUGUCGUCAGCUCGUGCCGUGAGGUGUCGGGUUAAGUCCCAUAACGAGCGCAACCCCUACCCUUAGUUGCCAGCGGAUAAUGCCGGGGACUCUGAGGGAACUGCCGGUGCAAACCGUGAGGAAGGUGGGGAUGACGUCAAAUCAUCACGGCCCUUACGUCCUGGGCUACACACGUGCUACAAUGGUAGAGACAGAGGGCAGCCACCUGGUGACAGGGAGCUAAUCCUUAAACUCUAUCUCAGUUCGGAUUG
rnacentral:rRNA from 1 species